UAGGGAAUAUUGGUAAUGUGCGAAAGCGCGAACCAGCAACGCCGCGUGCACGAUGAAGGCCUUCGGGUUGUAAAGUGCUUUUAGAGAGGAUGAGGAAGGACAGUACUUUCUGAAUAAGCCUCGGCUAACUACGUGCCAGCAGCCGCGGUAAAACGUAGGAGGCUAGCGUUAUCCGGAUUUACUGGGCGUAAAGCGCGUGCAGGUGGUUUCGUAAGUUGGAUGUGAAAGCUCCUGGCUUAACUGGGAGAGGUCGUUCAAAACUGCGAGGCUUGAGAGUGGUAGAGGGAGGUGGAAUUCCGGGUGUAGUGGUGAAAUGCGUAGAUAUCCGGAGGAACACCAGUGGCGAAAGCGGCCUCCUGGACCAUUUCUGACACUCAGACGCGAAAGCUAAGGUAGCAAACGGGAUUAGAGACCCCGGUAGUCUUAGCUGUAAACGAUGUGAACUUGGCGUCGGUGGGUUUAAAUCCAUCGGUGCCGAAAGCCAACGCGAUAAAGUUCACCGCCCUGGGGGACUACGGCCCGGCAAAGGUUAAAAACU
rnacentral:rRNA from 1 species